GGAAAGUGAAAAACUUAGCUUAUGUUGGGGUGUGUAAGAAUGGAAUGCGCUAGCGGUGGCGUUUUUUUAUGUGUAGUGUAUAUGGGAAAAGUCUUUGCAGUGAUAGUAAAGCUAUAGAAAAGCAUAGAAGGGAAGUGAUAUACAGUGGGACUUAGAAAAAUUUUAGCUGUUUCGUUCGUGUACGGAUCUCUAAGAGACGUGGGAGUUGUUGAAUUCAAAUGGAAUACAUUACUAUCAAGGGUACACAAAAAAAAAAGAUCACGACGGCGACGUCAUUGUGGAGGCCGACGGGUGGUGGCUUGCGGCGACCCGUCUUCUUGUAGUGCUGCUCGGCGCCAUCGUCGGAUCAGCAGGUCGAUCCUUCUGUGUCGCCAAUGCAGGAACUCCCGAGAAUCGGUGCUGGGAGCUGGCGAAUCGCGGUCGACGUCUGGUUGAUGUUGAGGUUCGCUCGUUGGUGUUGCAGGUGUUGAUGCUGGCAUCCCAGCUCUUGCCCCGGGGAUGGUGAUUACGAGGAUGUCUCGUCCGCUUCCGUCCAAUAAAGUCAUUCGACCAUUCCAUCAGUAAAGCGAAUUGGUUUUCUUCGAUUUCUUUGCGGGCGUCGUCCGGUAGCAUUUUGGUGUUCCGGCUUUUCUACUGACAAAUCGUCCUUGGACUCUGUUGGUGGAUUUUCGGACUCGUUAGUGUCGCGUGUGGAGUUGUCAUCGGAAAUUGGAGUGGAAUGACGCUGACUUGUAGCAUCGGCGCAUAUUUCAGCGGAUGGCAACUGAUUUUCUGUAUUUUGAUGAGAUGAAACGGCGACGUUCUCUUGGCUUAACUUUCGCUGAUCAAUUUCUUGAGUCGGAAAAUUAGUGUCAAAUGGAAGGGCGUCACUGUCAAAGGUAUCGUCUGGAUUGUCACUGUCGGGUCCGAUUUCAUUUUCGAAGAUAUCGGUAGUCUGAGUCGCAAUCGAUUUGCGGAAUCGAUUUUCAAAAUCCAAUGAGUUUUCAAUAGAUGGACAAUCUUCAGUCUUCCAAAGCAUUGUUUCGUACAAAGGUUUCAAACGAUUGACGUGGGUACGUUGGCAUACAUAGGAAUUAUCGGCUAUAUCUACUGUAUUAUUGGUAUGUACUUUUACAACUCUAUAAGGACCUUUAUAUUUCGAAGUGAAUUUCCUACUGUCACCUUCUUUAACUACACGAAUAUCUAAUAAAACUCUAUCUCCUACGA